rnacentral:rRNA from 1 species
AUGAAUUGCUUAACGUGGAACUGACAAGGGGUGGCCAACAAACUGACAGUUCGUGACUUGGUUGGCACAAUGAAAUCUACAAAAGCAAAAUUAGUUUUUUUUUUGUGUGAGACAAGACAGAGUUCGAAAGUUAAGCGCUUGUGUGGUAGACUAGGAUUAAGAGGCUUUUCGGGAGUUAGUAGUGAUGGUUUGUAUGGAGGGCUAGCCCUGUUUUGGUGUGAAAGUUUAUAUGUGGAAGUUCAGUCUGCUAAUGAUAGAUAUAUUGAUGCGUAUGUGCGGCUCUCUGAGCACGACCCUUUGUGGCGUUUGACUUGUGUGUAUGGGGAACCACGUACAGAAAACAUACACCGUAUGUGGACACACAUGAGUCACCUAAAAACUUCUAAUUUACCUUGGUGUGUCAUUGGAGACACCAAUGAAGCAAUGUGGUGUUUUGAACACUUCUCGCUUACAUCACGUAAUGAGAACCAGAUGUUGGCAUUUCGGGAUACUCUAGAGGUGUGUGAGCUUAUUGAUAUCGGCUUCUCUGGCUUACUUUUUACCUAUGAUAAUAAGCAGCGUGGAAGGAAGAAUGUAUGGGUGAGGCUUGAUAGAGCGGUGGCGGACAAUCGAUGGCGAGAUAUUUUCUUGGAAGCUAGAGUGGUCCGCAAUGUUUCACCAUGCUCUCAUCAUACGCCAAUAGUACUGGAAUGCAUCAAAGAACAUGUGCCAGCAUCCGGUGCAAUUUUCGCAGGUAUGAAACUUUUUGGGAACGUGAUGCUACUUUACCUGAGAAAGUUGUUGCUGCUUGGGAGCAAGCAAGCCGCAAAUUCAGUCUGGGUGACAUUCGAGCAAGACUAA